rnacentral:tRNA from 2 species
GGGCGGAUAGCUCAGUUGGUAGAGCAUCGCCCUUACAAGGCGAGGGUCACAGGUUCAAGUCCUGUUCCGCCUACCA